rnacentral:rRNA from 1 species
UGGGGAAUAUUGGACAAUGGGCGCAAGCCUGAUCCAGCAAUGCCGCGUGAGUGAUGAAGGCCUUAGGGUUGUAAAGCUCUUUCGCACGCGACGAUGAUGACGGUAGCGUGAGAAGAAGCCCCGGCUAACUUCGUGCCAGCAGCCGCGGUAAUACGAAGGGGGCUAGCGUUGUUCGGAAUUACUGGGCGUAAAGGGCGCGUAGGCGGCCUGUUUAGUCAGAAGUGAAAGCCCCGGGCUCAACCUGGGAAUAGCUUUUGAUACUGGCAGGCUUGAGUUCCGGAGAGGAUGGUGGAAUUCCCAGUGUAGAGGUGAAAUUCGUAGAUAUUGGGAAGAACACCGGUGGCGAAGGCGGCCAUCUGGACGGACACUGACGCUGAGGCGCGAAAGCGUGGGGGCAAACAGAUUAGAUACCCUGGUAGUCCACGCCGUAAACGAUGAAUGCUAGACGUCGGGGUGCAUGCACUUCGGUGUCGCCGCUAACGCAUUAAGCAUUCCGCCUGGGGAGUACGGCCGCAAGGUUAAAACUUAAAGGAAUUGACGGGGUCAUAGCUGUUUCCU